rnacentral:rRNA from 1 species
GACGAACGCUGGCGGCGUGCCUAAUACAUGCAAGUCGAGCGGAGCGGAGGAAGCUUGCUUCCAAAGUUCAGCGGCGGACGGGUGAGUAACACGUGGGUAACCUGCCUGACAGACUGGGAUAACGCUUGGAAACGAGUGCUAAUACCGGAUAGGCUUUUGGAUCGCAUGAUUCGAAAGGGAAAGAGGCUAUCGCCUCACUGUUAGAUGGACCCGCGGCGCAUUAGCUAGUUGGUGAGGUAACGGCUCACCAAGGCGACGAUGCGUAGCCGACCUGAGAGGGUGACCGGCCACACUGGGACUGAGACACGGCCCAGACUCCUACGGGAGGCAGCAGUAGGGAAUCUUCCACAAUGGGCGCAAGCCUGAUGGAGCAACGCCGCGUGAGUGAUGAAGGCCUUCGGGUUGUAAAACUCUGUCUUCUGUGACGAAACAGUGCGUGAGUGGAAAGCUCGCACCUUGACGGUAACAGAGGAGGAAGCCACGGCUAACUACGUGCCAGCAGCCGCAGUAAGAC